rnacentral:rRNA from 1 species
AUUGAACGCUGGCGGCAUGCCUUACACAUGCAAGUCGAACGGUAACGGGCCUUCGGGUGCCGACGAGUGGCGAACGGGUGAGUAAUAUAUCGGAACGUACCUUUCAGUGGGGGAUAACGUAGCGAAAGUUACGCUAAUACCGCAUAUUCUGUGCGCAGGAAAGCAGGGGACCUUCGGGCCUUGCGCUGAUUGAGCGGCCGAUAUCAGAUUAGCUAGUUGGUGAGUUAAAGGCUCACCAAGGCGACGAUCUGUAGCGGGUCUGAGAGGAUGAUCCGCCACACUGGAACUGAGACACGGUCCAGACUCCUACGGGAGGCAGCAGUGGGGAAUUUUGGACAAUGGGGGCAACCCUGAUCCAGCCAUGCCGCGUGAGUGAAGAAGGCCUUCGGGUUGUAAAGCUCUUUCGGCCGGGAAGAAAUCGUAUGGGCUAAUACCCUGUGCGGAUGACGGUACCGGCAUAAGAAGCACCGGCUAACUACGUGCCAGCAGCCGCGGUAAGAC